rnacentral:rRNA from 1 species
CGGGGUGGAGUAAUGCUUGGGAAUCUAGCUUAUGGAGGGGGAUAACUACGGGAAACUGUAGCUAAUACCGCGUAGUAUCGGAGGAUGAAAGUGUGGGACCUUCGGGCCACAUGCCAUAGGAUGAGCCCAAGUGGGAUUAGGUAGUUGGUGAGGUAAAGGCUCACCAAGCCGACGAUCUCUAGCUGGUCUGAGAGGAUGACCAGCCACACUGGGACUGAGACACGGCCCAG